UUCUCCCCUGAUCCUCUGUCUGGACAAAAAAUACACACCAAACUGAGCAUGUUCAGCCUGUCCACUGGCUCUGCAAAUUUCAGGUUAUUUUUAUUCGAGACAGUGGAAAAAGAGGAUCGGAGAGAAAGGAUCGAUUAUACAAUGCAAAGGAUUAACCUCUUAGGUUCCACAAAUACACAGAUGGAAAAACCCGAUUAGGGAUCGGAAACUUUGUCAUAGUAAAAAGGGUUCCAUUGUUACAAUAAAAAGAAGAUUUCUUGCCGAACAGUUGUGGAUUUUACCUCAACAUGAUAUGUUGCAUACAAAAGUAUAAAGAUCUGUUAUUUCUUUCAGAAUAAAGAUAAUUUGUUAUGUGUAAGAAUGGAACUUGAACAUGUUGUGCAUGGUAUAAUUGCACCCAUCAUAGGAGAGUAAAGAGAACCUGUUAUGUAUGGUAUCAUAAAAAUAGCCUAAUAUGUAUGGGAGCCUAAAGGUGAAUGGGGGAGAAGAAAGAUCAUGUGGUGUGGAGGAGAACUUGUCAUGUAUGGGAGUAUAAAGAGCACUUGUCAUGUACAUCAGUAGUUCUCAACCCUGUCCUCAAGUACCCCCAACAGGCCAUGC